rnacentral:piRNA from 1 species
GAUGUAAACGAAUGGAAUGAUUAAUAAUA